CUGUCAUCAACAAUGGAGAGCCUUGCUUCUGAUCCUGUUCCUCAUCUUCCUCCAGGUACUCCAUCAAAGAACUAUUCUUCUUCCAAUCAGAAUACAACCCACCACUCAUUUUUCAACUGCUAACUGUUCUUGGUGGAUUUGGUUUAGUUUAACUGGGUUGUGUUAAUCUAUAUAUGCAGAGAGCAGGUGAAAGUGGGGUAGGCCAAAAGGGGGACAAAGUGACAUUUUAAAAUUAGAAACUUCGCAUGAAACCUGGUGUUUUGCAGAGGAACAGAGUGAUGUUGGGACAAAAGACCAAGUUUCGGGAGACUCGAGGGAAUUAAGGAGCAGGAAGGACAAG
rnacentral:lncRNA from 1 species